rnacentral:rRNA from 1 species
UGGGGAAUAUUGGACAAUGGGCGAAAGCCUGAUCCAGCCAUGCCGCGUGUGUGAAGAAGGCCUUUUGGUUGUAAAGCACUUUAAGCGAGGAGGAGGCUACUAGUACUAAUACUACUGGAUAGUGGACGUUACUCGCAGAAUAAGCACCGGCUAACUCUGUGCCAGCAGCCGCGGUAAUACAGAGGGUGCGAGCGUUAAUCGGAUUUACUGGGCGUAAAGCGUGCGUAGGCGGCUGAUUAAGUCGGAUGUGAAAUCCCUGAGCUUAACUUAGGAAUUGCAUUCGAUACUGGUCAGCUAGAGUAUGGGAGAGGAUGGUAGAAUUCCAGGUGUAGCGGUGUAAUGCGUAGAGAUCUGGAGGAAUACCGAUGGCGAAGGCAGCCAUCUGGCCUAAUACUGACGCUGAGGUACGAAAGCAUGGGGAGCAAACAGG